UACAGAGGUCUCAAGCGUUGUUCGGAAUUACUGGGCGUAAAGAGCGUGUAGGCGGCCAAACAGGUCCGUUGUGAAAACUGGAGGCUCAACCUCCAGACGUCGACGGAAACCGUGUGGCUAGAGUCCGGAAGAGGAGAGUGGAAUUCCUGGUGUAGCGGUGAAAUGCGCAGAUAUCAGGAAGAACACCAAUGGCGAAGGCAGCUCUCUGGGACGGUACUGACGCUGAGACGCGAAAGCGUGGGGAGCGAACAGG
rnacentral:rRNA from 1 species